AGAGCAAAUCAGGGGGAAACUCCCAGCCUUUCCAGCCUCUUCCCGGGCCCUUUUAGGGUGUGCAGAGAGGGACUUUUGCCCCUUCCUAUACGGGGACGCAGGGGCAGGUGGGAGCUGGUUGCAUGGGGUGACCCAUCCCCAUGUCCCAUGCUCCAUCGCCACGUGGGACGCUUCAUGGCAGCACUACAGAUCAGAGGUGGCAUGCCCGGUUUGGAGGGGCUCCAACCACAAAGUCUGCAGAGGAAAACUCCAAAAGCUCCCAGAUUCAGAAAACAGCUGAUUCGGGGGAAAUGCUCGUGAAAAGAAAGCACUUUGGAUAGGUGUCUAAGAUGCCUGCCCAGACAAUCGGGAAAGAGAGGGGCAGUGUUUUGCACUUGAGAUACAGAUCAGCGAGGAACGGAACAAAGAGGGGCCGAGGGAACUCGUGAGGAUCCCGUGAUGUGGGACCGAGGACCCUGUGGGCCGUGUCCCAGCCCCGUGCCUGCCUUCUCCACGUUGCCUUUUCCCUUUCCGCUUCCCACCUCCAGCCCCCAGCAGUGGGGGCCAGGCCCAGGGGUGCGAUCAAACGCUCCGAACUCGAGAGCUGAGCUGCUUUGAUGCGUCUCCCUGCUUCUGAGCCUAUUGUGCUCGCAUCCUGAGCUUGUUUGUGUGCCGGUCCCCAGCCCCACAGCCCCCUGUGGCUGCCUGGCUCAGGGCACUCCCAAGCAGCAGAUAAGUGCAGCCGGGCUCACUGGGCUGAGCUGCUACCCGGGCCAGGUGCAGCUCUGCAGAUAGCGGGGCUGUAACCACGCUGACCCCGCAGCAUUGAGGGCUCUGGGUUGCCAACGGCUCCUGCCCCAUCUCUUGCCAGCCCUGCUGCCCGCUGAGCGCUGUCUGUUGGUGAAAGCAGUAUCAGCCCCGUGCACGCCGGAGAUUUGUCCUAGUGCUGCUGUUGUCCCGUUGGGAAGGGCCAGCCUCUUGCCAGAAGGCAUAACUGGUGCUGGGAGCGGCACAGCACACGGUUCGUUUGGGGCAUGGGGACGGCUGUUUGUCCUGAGCCAUGUGGGCAAGGUGUGCUGCCACCGAGUCACCACGGCUCCCCAGAUCCCAAAGCAGGGAACAUCUCCCAGGCCUUGGGCUUUGCCAGUGGCCCCAUCUCCCUGUGUGCUCUGUGCACAGACAACAGCCCCCAUCCUCCUGCAGCCAGGGUCACUCCUGCUGUGCAAUGAGCACAGAGGGAUCCCCAGGGCUGUGGAGAGUUAACGUCCCAGCAAAAGGCAAUGUUUGCAAGCAAGGAAGCCCAGGUGAAAGACUGAGGUUGCUUUAACCCUGCUGGGACGUGGUACGAGCUGGAGCCUCUCCCCUGACCCUCUGUGCUGGCCUCCAGCAAGAAGUGCAGCAGAAGCAAGCACCUCCAUCCCUGCUUCCCUCCUGGGGCAGCUUCUGGAAGGCUUGGGGUCUUGUGGGAAGACAGAGGUGCCUGAGAUGGGGUCUGCAUGUUUGUGUGAGUCCCAAAGCACAGCGUCCUUGGGCAGAGCCUCCCCUCAUCUCUGCGGCUCCUCGGGCCAGCUGAGGACAAGGAGGCAGGCCGGACCCAGGUGCUUCCCGAGGAAGGACACAAGGACAAGGGUUAUCUCAAAGGGAGGACACCGUACCACCUGCCAUGCCUCCACUCUCUCCAGUGUCUUUUCCUGGCUGUGUGUUUUUGUUUGCUGUUUAUCUCUGGGGCUUUUGUUUUCCCUCUGUUUUUAACUGACCACCAAAACUUGCAAAGCGCUGCCGGUCACACAAGUGUCAGUCACACCAUAAAGCAGAAGCGAAACUGUAUUUUUGCUCUGUUUGGUCUUAUGUUCCAAAAUGAGGGACACGGCCACAUCAUGGGGUUGACGAAGGAAGGAACAGAGGGUCACUUGAGCCCAAGUCAGGGGAUGCACGAGUCCCUCAGGAGCUCAUAGAGCACAGAAACAAACAGCUGCUCAGGGGGCAGUGAGGCCCUGGCACUGCAGCCCAGAAAGCUGUAGGUGCCCCAUCCCUGGAGGUGCCCAAGGCCAGGUUGGAUGGGCCCUGAGCAAACUAAGCUGGUGGGGGGCAGUCAGCCCACGGCAGAGUGUUGGGACCGGGUGGGCUUUAAGGUCCUUUCCAGCCUAACCAUGCUGUGAUUCUGUGAUCUAAAAACACCGGGGCCAAGUUGCCAUGAGGAGGAACGCCUCGAUAGAAGCUGGCACCAGGACUUCCAGCCUGCAGCAAACACGGUGUAAAAGGGGUUAAAAUGCUCUCAGGCACCACGCUGCAUUUGAAGAACACAACAUUUUGGGGUACCACGCCACCAACGCUAGCAAAAAGGUCUGUUUCCAAAGAGUUAGUUUAUUUUCUUUUCCUAGCAGGUGUGGAAAUGGGGAACUGCUGAGCACACGCCCUGAGAUGCUGUGAGAGGGAACAGAAAACACCUGCGGAGCGGAUUUGAGGCGAUAAUCCAUCGAGAGAGGGGAAAUGGAGCAGCGCGCCGCAGAGCGUGUGCACAGCGAAGCCUUGAAGCGGAGCGCAGGGCUGGCCCUGCUCUGAGCGAUGGGCUGAACUCAAAGGCAGGAGCUGGGAGCGGUGACCUUCGCUCCCGCUGGAGCACGGAGAAGGCAGAGGAGGCUGUGGGGCCUCCCGUGACCACAGGCAGUGCUCAGAGGCUCUGUGAUGGAUGGACCCUCAGCCCCCUGCAGGGACGCCAUGCCCCCAGCAAGCACAGCAGCCCCUCGGGAUGCACUGUGGCUCUCCUGCUGCCCCCCAUCAGCAGUUUGGGCUUUCCCCAGCAUGUGCUUUCCCAAAGGCUCUGUUUGUGUUUGCAGCGCCUUUGUUUGCUGCAGAUCUUCAUUGCCCACAGUUAUUGCCUUCACCACCCUCUAUGCCCCACCACUGCACCGCGCUGCCAGCUGGGGAUGGGCUUACCCAGGGCAGGGGUGCUUUAUGGGUUUCAUAAAUCCUCUCCAUACAUCCUUUACUACUUUCACCUUUACGCCGCUACGCUGUACUGCUCCUUAAAGUUGCUCAGUUUUGUUUAAACAAGGAACCACACGACUCUGCUCCUACCCUCUCUCAGAGGCCGGGGCUGCCCCAGCGGGGGCUGGGAUGAGGGAUGGGAUGAAGG